AUUGAACGCUGGCGGCAGGCCUAACACAUGCAAGUCGAGCGGAUGAAGGGAGCUUGCUCCUGGAUUCAGCGGCGGACGGGUGAGUAAUGCCUAGGAAUCUGCCUGGUAGUGGGGGAUAACGUCCGGAAACGGGCGCUAAUACCGCAUACGUCCUGAGGGAGAAAGUGGGGGAUCUUCGGACCUCACGCUAUCAGAUGAGCCUAGGUCGGAUUAGCUAGUUGGUGGGGUAAAGGCCUACCAAGGCGACGAUCCGUAACUGGUCUGAGAGGAUGAUCAGUCACACUGGAACUGAGACACGGUCCAGACUCCUACGAGAGGCAGCAGUGGGGAAUAUUGGACAAUGGGCGAAAGCCUGAUCCAGCCAUGCCGCGUGUGUGAAGAAGGUCUUCGGAUUGUAAAGCACUUUAAGUUGGGAGGAAGGGCAGUAAGUUAAGACCUUGCUGUUUUGACGUUACCAACAGAAUAAGCACCGGCUAACUUCGUG
rnacentral:rRNA from 1 species